CAUUUACUCCCUCUAACUAGCAACCCGGCCAUAUACUCGAAGUAGUCCCUAGCUAACCACUUACACCGUUUCGUUUCUCUUCAGCCUAAAAAUCAAUCCAUAACCCCACUCUCUCGCUGUGCUCCUCCACCCUCUCAUUUCACUCCUCGCUCUCUGCGAUUCUCUAAGUCGCAAAACCUAACCCCUCUUUUCUUCGAUCUCUGGUUUUUGAAUUUCAAGAUGAGUGAGAUUCUCCACAUCCAAGGCGGCUAGUGUGGCAACCAUAUUGGAGCCAAGUCUUGGGAGGUGCUCUCUGUCGAGCACAACAUCGGCAGGUAUGAAGGCUACGCGCUUCAUCUUGAGAGGAUCAAUGUCUGCUACAACGAGGGCCAGUGGCGCUAGGUACGUGCCCAUGGACAUCGUCAGAUCUAAACCGUACAUCCAGAUCUUCAAGCUGGAAAACUUCAUCUUCGACCUGUACACGCCGAGCACAACUGGGCUAAAGGUCACUACACUGAAGGGGCUGAGUUGAUCGACCAAAGUGAAGAGAUUUAUGAUCUGCUGUCUAGCAAGGUGGUGGAGGGUUUGGGUUUGGAUGGCCUAAAGGAAUGACUGCAAUUCUAAGUUUUGGAGCUGCAAUAUAUGGUACCGGUGCAAACAAAUUGCAGUGACAGCAAGUGCUUAAAGAGCUAGAUCUGCUAGAAAACCUUUUGAUCCAAAACUAAAAGAAGUGAUUCAUUUGAUCCAUUAAUUGUAUUCCUUCAUGGAGGCUGGCAUACUGUUUCUUUGUCAAGCGUUUCAAAGUCCUUAGCAUUUCUCUCUAUAAUUGGGUCCAACUUGUUACUUGUAAAUUAUAGAGCGAGGUUCACUGGAAUUUGGUGAGGAAGCACUUCAAUCUCUUCCAGGGAAUAUUGGCUCCCAGCUUCGUGGAUACAGUCCCAGUCCUUGUUGGUCCAGUGUCCUACUUGUUGCUGUCCAAACCAACAAAGGGUGUUGAAAAGACAUUUUCGCUAAAGGAAAGUACAUCUUUGCUGGAUUGGUUGAUGGAAGGAACAUUUGAGCUAAUGAUCUCUCUGCUUCCCUAAGUACAUUGCAAGCUCUUGAAGGCAUUGUUGGCAAAGACCACCUUGUCGUCUUUACCUCCUGCUCUCUUCUUCACACUGCUGUUGAUCUUGUUAAUGAGACUAAGCUGGACAAUGAAAUCAAAUUGUGGCUCGCCUUUGCUGCCCAGAAAAUUGUUGAAGUUAAUGCUUUGGCAAAGGUAUUGGCUGGUCACAAGGAUGAGGUAUAGUAUCAUGCUCUUCUGCUGCAAUGUGCAACUUCCAAAGCUUCACAACAAGCUUGGAGGUGAUGCAAAUUAGAAUAUAGUGCACAAGAUGGUUUGAAAUGGUGCAGCUAGGAUGCUUUCUUUGAUGGUUUUAUGGUCUAGAAACUUGCAGCUAGGAUGCUUUCUUUGAUGGUUUUAUGGUCUAGAAACUUGAAUGUAUGGAUAAUUUACAAAUAUAUUGGAGCAUUGU